CCCGACGUUGCUUAACUUUGGUCAAAAAUCACGUUUGUUGUAUGGGAGCCCCAUUCAAAUCUUUAUUUUAUUCUGUUUUUAGUAUUUGUUGUUAUAGCGGCAACAGAAAUACAUCAUCUGUGAAAAUUUCAACUGUCUAGCUAUUACGGUUCGUGAGAUACAGCCUGGUGACAGACGGACGGACGGACGGACGGACGGACGGACGGACAGCGAAGUCUUAGUAAUAGGGUCCCGUUUUACCCUUUGGGUACGGAACCCUAAAAAGAAGUGUAUACAAUUUCCUGUGGUUAAAAAUAAUGGAUUUUGUCUAUGAAUGAAAAACACAAUUAUUACUAUAGUUUGUUUUUUUUAGCAUUAGAAAUAAGGUAAACAGUCUUGACGUGUCUUUUAAUUGAAAAACACAUUUUAUAAAUAAGUUACGGCAAAUAUGUAACAAUUAUAAAUCUAAUACGAUCAUUUUUAGGGUUCCGUACCCAAAGGGUAAAACGGGACCCUAUUACUAAGAUUUCGCUGUCCGUCCGUCCGUCUGUCACCAGGCUGUAUCUCACGAACCGUGAUAGCUAGACAGUUGAAAUUUUCACAGAUGAUGUAUUUCUGUUGCCGCUAUAACAACAAAUACUAAAAACAGAAUAAAAUAAAGAUUUAAAUGGGGCUCCCAUACGACAAACGUGAUUUUUGACCAAAGUUAAGCAACGUCGGGAGGGGUCAGUACUUGGAUGGGUGACCGUUUUCUUUUUGCUUUUUUUUUUGCAUUAUGGUACGGAACCCUUCGUGCGCGAGUCCGACUCGCACUUGCCCGGUUUUUGAUUUUUAAAAACCUGAUAACACUGAGUAUGUGGGGGAAGCGCUGCUGGCCUAGCGGAAAGCAAUUCGGAGGUCGCGGGUUCUAACCCCGGCUCGUACCAAUGAUUUUUCGAACUUUUGUACGAAAUAGCAUUUGAUACCUACCUAUUUAUACACCGAUACCUAUUUUUCGGUGAAAGAAAACAAUGUGAGGAAACCGGACUAAUCCAAAUAAGUUUACUCUCUGGGUUGGAAGGUCAGGGCAGUCGCUUUCGUGUAAACUAGUGCGCAUGCCAAUUCUGGGAUUAGUUGCCAAGCGGAGAUUGAAUAUCUGGGAGACCGACCAAAGCUUACAAAUCAUAAAAACUCAAAAAUGCGCGUUUUCUCAUAGACCUAGCUAAGAGAUCAAACCCCUUAUAGCAAAUUUCAUCGAAAUCGUUAGAGCCGUUUCUGAUACCAUCCAAAUAUAUAAAUAAAUAAUUAUAUAUCUAAUAAUUGCUCGUUUAAAGGUAAGAUAACACAAAGGAGAAACAAAAAGAAAUUACCUACUCGCACCAGUCUUGAACCCCAAUCCUCUUGCACGUAUUUCCACGAACAUACCGUUACGCUAUUGCAACAUACUUACGUUGUGUGAAAUUGUCUACUACAAGGAUCACGGAAACACUCUUUGCAUGUGUGAGUAAUAGUAAGAAAAAGCGUGACAGCAACAUUCCGUCAAAUUAAAAAGGUGGUUUUUGCACAAUGAAGUAUUCAAUGUUUAUUUUAAUAGUUCAAUAUUUACUUAAAGAGUGCGCGAAACAUACUUUUAAGUAUACAAAUACCAAGACCAUUUCACAAAAAAAUAAAAUCUUAUAUUUUGCAAAAGUGGUGCCAUCUAGCGAGAGUUAAGUUUUGAGUAACCUAGGCGAACCACCUUAAACAUUUUUAUCGUACAGUCGCCAUUAGAUAUAUCUGAGCGGCCGAAGCGCGCACAAACAUCUGAACACGCCUCUAUUGUCAAGGCUGCUGGUUUACUGGUUCAGAUAUUUUGGAGCAUCUUGGCCGCUCUUAUAUAUUUGAUGGCGACAGUACCACACUAAUACGAUUUAAAGUAGUCCGUAAAAUGAGACUACCAUGAAUAUGUAGUUCGGUGGGAAAAGGAGAACAGUGCUACUUGCAAAAAAAAACAAGAUAUCUUUUUUUCGUCGGUGACGUCACAUUUUGCUGAAAAUUAAUAAGGAAUUCCUAAGAUAGUCAUAGUGUAAUGGUGAGAAUACGCAAACUUGAUAACAAUCUCUUGAAUUUCGUUAAAACUUUAUAGCUGAGAAACAGCCAAGGUAAAAGCACCUACCUACCUAUACCUACCCUAUUGUUUCGUAGUAUUUUACUUGACGGUAUUUUGGCUAUUUAUCGGUAUCGUCUUGGAUCGUCCCAUUCGUUUUUCGUCAAGUUCUUAAAUUAGUCCUAUUCUGCUUUCGUCACUCAUUCUACAUUGAAAGCUACCGACGAUUGUGACGAAUAUAGAAUGGGUGACGAAAGCAGUAUAGGACGAUACCUAUUUAUCAUUUGGAACUAACGAGAAACAGAAAAGUUUAAGUGAGAGUAAAUGAAAAUAGUGAAAAUAUCGUUUUAGUUUGUAUAAUAUCUAGUAAUACCACUCUAGGGUAACAUGUAUUUUUACUUAAAUCUUUCUUUACGACCCUUAUGCAUUUUUUACAAAACACUGCACCUUUAAAAAUAUAUGCCGCAGAUAUAACAAAAUAGACCAUUGGUUUUUGAGGUGUCUAAUUGGCUAAUAAAUCCGUUUAUAUAAGACAACAUAGGUACAACACACUUAAAUUAUAAUGUAAAAAGCAGAAUUAGUAAUAAAAUAAUAAACAGUUGGUAUUGAAAUAUUUGAACAUUCCUGACAUGUAUAAAAAGGGUAAAGGGGCCCACAGAUUACCAGUUCGCCGGGCGAUAUCAGCCCAGCCCAGUUAAACGCAAAAGGUGACAGUUCCGAACAACUGACAGGCUGAUAUCGCCCGGCGAACUGGUAAUCUGUGCGCCCCUUAAGGAAGAGAUGGGGCUGUCUUACGAUAUGUCUUUCUUACUAUUACUUUAACAUUCUAAGUGCACGAGGUCAUUGGCAGAGUAAUUUGCUUGAAUGCAUUAACCUCUAGCCGCCCAGAGACCUAUAAAAAGGUCUCCUGUUCCAUUCUAAUUUGAACUUUGUGUUGACAACAUAAAAUUUCAUUUUGCUUGGCAAGGUUUGACGUAUGGGCGGCUAGAGGUUAAAAUGACAAUGUAUGUAGAACAAAAGGGGUUGAAGGGUUUUAAUAUCUGCGGUCUAUAUGUCGCUUGCCAAACUUGUAACUUUUGGAAGACUUGAGGUUUUUACGUGUUAAGUCUUCGUGUUGUUAUCAAUUUUUAAGUAUUCUACUCUUAUUAUGUUAUUUGUAGUAGGUCAUCGUUGACUUGGGUCGGAUAAUGCAAGAAUUUAAAAUACUAUUUACAUAACGCUUAACCAGAAAUACCGGGUGUAUUUAUUUACUUAACGUUCAUACUGAAAUAUGUUUCUGGUGCGGUUACUUGUAUUUGAUUCCCUAGUAUUGUUAAGUAGUUUUUACUCUUUAUUUAUUUUACACCUUACUGCUCAAUCUUGUAUCCAAUUUCUUUCUUGUUAUUUUUUUAAGGUGCUAGAGUAGUACGUUUAUCAUGGAUAUAAGAGGAUUUAUCUCUUUCACACCUACUUAGUGUGAAAGAGAUAAAUGGCAGUUCAGCGAUAAACUAUUAUAUGCUAGUAACUUAGUUUUUUAGAUUUGUUUUGUUUCUUUGCCCACGCUACUAUACUAUGUGUUGUAAUUUUAAUGUAAAUUUUAAAUAGUUAUGGUCGAAUGAUAAUAUUUGAUAGUUAACGGUGAUAUUGUACCGUUAGACGGCUUUAGAUGCAGGAAUCAGCAAUUUGUAAACAAAUUAAAUGAAUUAUUGAAA